GAUGAUAAAUUCUCAAUUUUUUUAAGAAAUUUUAUUAAAAUUGACAAUUUUUCUGCAACUUUACUUGUGCACUGUAAAGAAUGACGCAAUUUGUCCGAGUACAGUAGCUUGGGCGUGAAUGUGACGUAGGGUGAGGAACACGCCGCUUGCACCGCGCUCUUGUUUAUGUUUUAUUGACUAUCGGUGGAAGGCUAAACGUUGAAAACAUUACGAUAUUUUUCCAAAUAAACCGUUGUAUGAUGUCUGAGACUUCUUCCGUCACAGAAACAUCUUCUAUGUCGGACAAUGACUAUGAAUAUAACUUUAUUCCCGGCGAAUAUGUGUUUGAAGCCAAAUUUGCGCAUGACUACGACCAGUUGGAACAUGUGGUCGAAUCUCAUUCAGUCUCUUACUCAAACGAACCUCUUGCGGGCGAAGAAUGGAUCAUCAGCAGAAGCAAGAAGAUAAGGAAGUUAAAAUCAACAAAUUAAAAGACCGGUUUAAUGGAGGGGAAGAUCUGUCUAAUUGGUGCUCUUGCAGUAAUUGUGCGAAGGAACGCCUUAAUAACGAAAAUGAGUGUCUCUGUUGUAAAGAAAUGGACGAAUGUGUUGCUUGUCUAGAAGAUAAACUUGUUCUUCGAGACACCUUAACUGCUCAAGCAUGCAUUACCCAGCAUCCACCAUUUGAUACCAUUUGCCUAAAUGGUUGUCCUUAAGAUUAGCAGCAUUUAAAUAUAGGAAAUUGAACCAAAGACGAUAUCGACCAACAAGAUCAGAAGAAGUGUGACUAUUAAGUAUAUGUUACAUUUCAGGAAUGCAAGAAAUCUUUAAAAAGGUUUAUACUAUAUACUAAUGUAUAAUAGAAUGUAUGAUGCUAUAGUUCCACAUUCCCGCAAAGUGUGGCUUAUUGGGAAUUUAUUCAUCUUACCUGUGAUCGUGUUGAACGAAUAAGAAUUCCACUACCGGCAUGUGCGUACAACGUCAUCAGGAAAACAUUUCAACCAGCUGAUUCUAAUGAACUUUGAUAAUGAUUCAAAUGAAUGAAAUAUAAUUGCAAUAUGUAAAAACUUUGUUAAAAUAAGUGGUAUUGUAAAUUUAUAAAAUGAAUCAAACAGAUUA